AUUCGCACCGUUGUAUGACGAGGACUUCUCUGGGGAAACUGAGGAAUGAUCUGGCGUUGAUUUGGUUAUGGUGAAUGCUGUGGACUCCUCUCUAGGCCUGUACAUUUAUUUACAACGAGAAAAAGGGUUCCUGAUUGAUUUCGAACCUUUCGAAUUGGGCGACCAGAGCCACGCAAACUGUACGUGUGCCGAAGAACCGUAAAAGGAUAAUGCUCUUCUUUGAAUAAGAGCUGUUGGAGCCAUUUGACGAAUUCUAUCAAUUUCACCGUAUACAGUACAAAUACAGCUUUAUGUACUAAUUACGAGUACUCAUUUAGCACAUUGCGGUAUAGGUAUACUUACCCAUGGCUGCAGGUGUAACGUGUGUGCGUAUAUACAUAUCUUCGAAGCUAGUGACAAAGGGAAUGCCGAGGAGACAUUACUUCAAUGAGACAAAUGAGUAAUUCAAGAUGGCAGAUGAAGAAGCUCGAGAGGCUGAAGAAAGGAGAACUGUCAGAGGUGGAAGAUGAUUUCUGCAAUGGAAUCCUUAUUCUGACUAUUCCAAAGAGUUUGGUCCACUGUCAUGAGAGAUUCGCGCCGUAGAUGCAUCUUCCCUAAGAUCAAUCUGCUACGCAUGAAAUACCUAUGUCAGGAGUCAAAGAAUGGGCCAACAGUUGGAUUUUGUGAAGCGAAACUUUUCAAAAAUGCGUACAAUAGCGCCGAUCGACUCUUGGAUAAAUCCCGUAGAAGACGCCAGGCGUACUGACGUAUUCCGGGGCUCUGGAUGCUGGAUGAAAGUUAGGGGAUGGCUGUGGAGCAACGUUUUACAGAUGUAUAUCCUACUGGAUUCUCGGAGGUUCUCAAGGGGAUGUUAAGGGAAACUGGUUGGCUGACUGGCUGGUGGACUGCUUGGCAGCAGGAGCUUCGGUGAUCAUAUUUAGAUUAGCACGAGAAUGCACGCUGUCGUUCCCUAGUUAACUGUUCUCCCUUUCUCUCUUUCUCUCCAUAUUCAUUCGUUCAUUCUCUCUCACACAAUACAAAAUCCCUAUUAUCUUGUAUUCUGACAUAGUCGACUGUUCGAGCAGGUAUUUACAAGGCAUAUACGAGGCCUAAAUAGCAGCUCUGACGGAGUCUGAUUGGAGCACCGUAACCCUAAACCCAAGGGCAGAUCCGAAUUCGCCUGGACCAAGCUCUAUCUAGAAUCUCAUAUACGUUUGGGGAUUGCCUUUCAUCUCCUUGAUAGUCUUCUUCCUUGACACUCCUGACUCUUCUUUCUUCUGUACACCAAUCGAUUUUCGAAUUUUCCCAAGUUAUUACCAAGAGGGUGAGAGUUGGAGAAAAGUCCCGUCCGCAAAUCCAUUAAGGCCACGAAAUCAAGUUCCACACGAGAAACGGCACCCUUUUGGUCCUUAACUAAUCAGCGACGCAUGCUGCUCCUGUGCUCUCCAUUGUGAUACCAAUUAUACAAGGGUUCGACUAGUUUAAGCCGAUCGAUUAGAUUAUUCAGAUUAAGUAGCAAUAAGCAGCUUGUACAGAUUAACGUUGCUGGAUGUAAAUUGAUCGAAUGACAGGUGUCAAAAUUUUGUACCGUCACUAAGACGACUGAUUAAUUUAUAAUCAAUACCUAGACCCUGCGCAUACGUCAUUUAGUGCUGAAGUCCUCUCUCGGCUCUUCCUUACCUCUUAACAUGGCUUCGUCAUCAACCUUCCAUCAACCUAUCGAUUUUGUCUGAUGACGCGUCAUUAAGUUUGUAACGUCGAAAAAUCACCCCUGCUUCAUCAAGAUUUUCUUGCAGGCAAUCGCUGUUUCUCCUAAUCGUAAGAAAUGACUCCUUAUCGUACGAGAAAUUCUAUUUUUCCGCGUUAACUUUCAUCGAGUUUUAAUGGUCGCAGAAUUUUCGUUCGCCGUUACGUAACAAAGUACUCUUACCUACAUUUCUUCCUUUUGCGUAUAAUAUAAGGCAGACAUUUCUACAGGGCGAAACACCACGGGCAACGCGGGCAUAGUUUCUAACGAAAUUUACACAAGGGUGUGACAAUACCAGUGGUUCGUACCGGUUAGGGGUAAUUUACGGCUUAUGCAGCUCGUAAAUAUAUUCUCAUACUAGCUCGCGGAAAGGGGAUGAAGUUUAGGAGCAAAGGGGUGGUAAGGGGAUGCUGGAUGCCCGUUACCAGGAAAUAGGGACAAUAUCCGAAGUGAAACGUCAUUUCCUCCAGCUCCGCUGCGUACUGCUACGAUCUACCUACGUGUACACGACUACUUGAUAUUUGUAGAUACUAGCUGCCGGCUACUACCGACUAUCCGUACCAUCUCUCUUACCUCCGUAACAUAUUCACAGCCUCCAUCGUACUCGUUAACUUCCUACUGGAUUACGGGCUGUAUGUCCGAUACGUAUGUAUGUACACGUUUCAUUGAAUUGGCAUGAGCCAUAAGUCGGAUCGCAGAUAAUAAUCAUAAUGGUAAUGGAGAAUCACGGGUUAAUCAGGCAGGUAAAGAAGUUCGAUGAUAUCUCCUUGGAAUGAGUUGAGACAUUUUUUUAUAUCUGAAAAACUAUACGGUAAAACAUGGUAGAAUUUUAUAUAGAUCAGGAUAUA